AGCAGCAGCAGAAGUACCAGUGAGUAGACGGAGGGGAGAUUAAAGGGGUCUUAUCAUGAGGAAUCACUUUUUCCUUUAUCUUUUGAGAUAAAAGAGCUUGAUAUACUGCGAAAACGUACUGUAUCGUUCAGAAGUCCAAACUUUCACGUGUUGUAUCUUAUCUGAGUACUUACUUUCUGUUCAGUCUUUCUCUCAUCAUUUCAUUUCAGGAUUAUUGAGUCUGAAAACUCCGAUUCAUCUCCUGAGCGAAAAAAGAGCCAGAAGAAGAAGAAAAAGAAAAACAAAAGCAGAGAAAGCUCUGAGAGCCCCUCACCCUCUCCUCGACGAGAGAAGAAAAAGGACAAGAAGAAGAAAAAGAAAAGGGAGGAAUCAGUGAAGAGUGACACAGAGAGGUGGGUUUUCUUCUCAUCACUGUAAGUUACCUUUGAUAACUGUAUGUACUAUAUAUUUAAAUGUUAUCAUUU
rnacentral:lncRNA from 12 species